UGAAGCCGGUUCAAUGGUUGUCAAAAAUUGUUAUUGAGACUGGAAUCUUACACAUCAUGGAUAACUUACCAGAAGGGUCAAAGAAGGUUGUUAUGCCACUGAGGUUUUCUAUAAAAUUACAGCAAGGGAUCCACAAUGUGGAUGAGAUGAACAAGAAGUUUGAUUACAAGAACCGUCUCGACAAGAAAGACUUGGUCAUGCUGCCAGUGCUCGAGUGCGCAGAUGUAACCGAUAAGGAC